GCGCGAUCGGGCAUUCCCUUCCGGGUUGCGUCACUGCUGAUGUCUGUGAGGACCUGCAUAGAGAUCACAGUGUGAUCGGUGCAGGGGGAUCGCGGGGAGGGGAGUGAGAGACCAUCUCUCUCACUCCCCCUCCCGUCCUGAAACGGAAAA